rnacentral:rRNA from 1 species
UACGUAGGGGGCAAGCGUUGUCCGGAAUCAUUGGGCGUAAAGAGCGUGUAGGCGGCCCGGUAAGUCCGCUGUGAAAGUCCAGGGCUCAACCCUGGGAUGCCGGUGGAUACUGUCGGGCUCGAGUCCGGAAGAGGAGUGUGGAAUUCCUGGUGUAGCGGUGAAAUGCGUAGAUAUCGGGAGGAACAUCAGUGGCGAAGGCGGCCCUCUGGUCCAGUACUGACACUCAAGUGCGAAAGCGUGGGGAGCAAACAGG